rnacentral:rRNA from 1 species
UACAGAGGUCUCAAGCGUUGUUCGGAUUCAUUGGGCGUAAAGGGUGCGUAGGUGGCGCUGUAAGUCGGGUGUGAAAUUUCGGAGCUUAACUCCGGAAACUGCAUUCGAUAACUGCGGUGCUUGAGGACUGGAGAGGAGACUGGAAUUCAUGGUGUAGCAGUGAAAUGCGUAGAGAUCAUGGAGGAAGACCAGUGGCGAAGGCGGGUCGUCGUGGACAGUUCCGUACACUGAGGCACGAAGGCCAGGGGAGCAAACGGG